rnacentral:lncRNA from 1 species
GUGAAGAUGCCUUAUGGUAGGACUCAAGCUGGCGCCCAAUCUUCUGUGCCGUAAGCCAUAGAUCACUAGUCUCAUCAGCAGUGAGAUCAAUGAAGCGCUUAACAUCACGUCUUGGGCAGACAAGCACGUGUAUGUUGUGUCAAGUCAACCAAAUAAGAGAAAUACAAAUAUGGCAAGGCACUGUCUUAGUAUAUACAUAUAUGUGUGUGUGUGUAUCUUUAUUCUAAUCUUUCUCGUGUUUAUCAAGCAUGGUGUUGAUAUUCAAGCAAAUCAAAGUACAUAAGUUUCUUGAAUCUUGAUAAUGAGGCACGCACUUUCAAGGCCAAGAGAACCUACCAAAGUUGAGAAGUGGAGAAGCUAGGGGUUCAAGGAUGUUGGUGCCAUUUAUUCUAGAUGCAUUUUUAAGCAUGCAUAACACGAUCACACAAAAUUUUCCAGUGAAGACAGCCAUAGAAGUAUGGGCAGAUUAAAGGAUAUGACCUGUAACAGAAAUCAAAAAACAAAAUAUAGUCAACAGGACAUAACUGCAGAAGAUAUAAGGCGCUAUGGAAUUGGUAAAAUACAUCAAUAUUUUUCCUAAAAUAUUAAACCUUCAUCUCCAUUUUUCUCUGCUUUGCUAUAGCAUAAACAAUCGCGUGAUACACAUGAGUUAGCAUCAAAGAUUAUAAUCCAAGAACAGCUCAACAAAUGAGCAAAUGAAAUUCAAAGUGAGAAUCAUAAAGUUGAGCUCCAAAUUCAUGCGAAACGUACCCCAAAACAAUUUUUUAAUACUAAUGAGAAGGAGUUUCCAUGUAAAUAAAAUUCCAACUGCAGCUCCCGCACCUAUUAACUUAGCUCCUUCUAACAUUUCUUCGUCUUAUUGAUUCUUUUCACGCUUCAUUGAUUAUUAUAUGGAGUAAUUCUAAAUUCAAUUUAUCUUCUCUUACGAGAAUUUCCUGCAGAAAUCUUCACAUAGCAAAAAUAUCCGAAAUCGGAAUUUGGAAAUGCAUACCGGGAAGAAGAGGCCGCAAAUUGACCAUAGCGUACGAGGAUUGAGUGGAGUAGAAUACUUCUUUGGGGUCGAUUUUGUACGGACCAAAUGCAAAACUCUCAGAUUCCAUCUGCGAUUUUUAGUUUUUCAAUUUACACAAAAUAAAAAAUAAAAAAGAUCAACGAAAGAUACAAUCGCCGCACGAUAAUCCCGUCUCAAUACGUAAUUAGGGCGUAAUUUAAUAGAAUAAGGCUUCGAUAUUACUUGCCCUAUGAGCGCUGUGAGUGAAGCAGUAGUUUCCGGCUGAGGGUGAAAAGGGCGGGAGCGGAGGCGAGUAAUGGCGGAGGAAGAGGCCGCGCGUGGAGGGGUGUAGGUAGAGAAACGCGGUUGGAAUACGACGGGAAGUGAGGAAGGCGAAACUUAACAUCAGCGCGCAGUUCNGAAUUUCCUGCAGAAAUCUUCACAUAGCAAAAUUAUCCGAAAUCGGAAUUUGGAAAUGCAUACCGGGAAGAAGAGGGCGCAAAUUGACCAUAGCGUACGAGGAUUGAGUGGAGUAGAAUACUUCUUUGGGGUCGAUUUUGUACGGACCAAAUGCAAAACUCUCAGAUUCCAUC